GCCCAGAUGGGAUUAGCUUGUUGGUGAGGUAACGGCUCACCAAGGCGACGAUCCCUAGCUGGUCUGAGAGGAUGACCAGCCACACUGGAACUGAGACACGGUCCAGACUCCUACGGGAGGCAGCAGUGGGGAAUAUUGCACAAUGGGCGCAAGCCUGAUGCAGCCAUGCCGCGUGUAUGAAGAAGGCCUUCGGGUUGUAAAGUACUUUCAGCGGGGAGGAAGGUGUUGUGGUUAAUAACCGCAGCAAUUGACGUUACCCGCAGAAGAAGCACCGGCUAACUCCGUGCCAGCAGCCGCGGUAAUACGGAGGGUGCAAGCGUUAAUCGGAAUUACUGGGCGUAAAGCGCACGCAGGCGGUCUGUCAAGUCGGAUGUGAAAUCCCCGGGCUCAACCUGGGAACUGCAUUCGAAACUGGCAGGCUUGAGUCUUGUAGAGGGGGGUAGAAUUCCAGGUGUAGCGGUGAAAUGCGUAGAGAUCUGGAGGAAUACCGGUGGCGAAGGCGGCCCCCUGGACAAAGACUGACGCUCAGGUGCGAAAGCGUGGGGA
rnacentral:rRNA from 1 species